rnacentral:rRNA from 1 species
CCUACGGGUGGCUGCAGUGGGGAAUAUUGCGCAAUGGGCGAAAGCCUGACGCAGCGACGCCGCGUGAGGGAUGAAGGUCCUCGGAUCGUAAACCCCUGUCAGCAGGGAAGAAAGGUCACUGUGCUGAUCAAGAGUGACUUGACGGUACCUGCACAGGAACCACCGGCAAACUCCGGGCCAGCGGCCGCGGUAAUACGGAGGGGGCGAGCGUUAAUCGGAAUUACUGGGCGUAAAGCGCUCGUAGGCGGUAUGUCAAGUCAAGGGUGAAAUCCCCGAGCCCAACGUGGGAACUGCAUUUGAAACUGGCAGGCUGGAGUGGAUGAGAGGAUAGUGGAAUGCCGGGUGUAGGGGUGAAAUGCGUAGAUAUCAGGAGGAACAGCAGUGGCGAAGGCGGCUAUCUGGCACACAACUGACGCUGAGGAGCGAAAGCGUGGGGAGCAAACAGGAUUAGAUACCCCAGUAGUC